rnacentral:rRNA from 1 species
GAGUUUGAUCAUGGCUCAGAUUGAACGCUGGCGGCAUGCCUUACACAUGCAAGUCGAACGGCAGCACGGGAGCUUGCUCCUGGUGGCGAGUGGCGAACGGGUGAGUAAUGCAUCGGAACGUAUCCUGGAGUGGGGGAUAACGUAGCGAAAGCUACGCUAAUACCGCAUAUUCUGUGAGCAGGAAAGCGGGGGACCUUCGGGCCUCGCGCUCUUGGAGCGGCCGAUGUCGGAUUAGCUAGUUGGUGAGGUAAAGGCUCACCAAGGCGACGAUCCGUAGCAGGUCUGAGAGGAUGAUCUGCCACACUGGAACUGAGACACGGUCCAGACUCCUACGGGAGGCAGCAGUGGGGAAUUUUGGACAAUGGGGGCAACCCUGAUCCAGCCAUGCCGCGUGAGUGAAGAAGGCCUGG